AGUGAACGCUGGCGGUAGGCCUAACACAUGCAAGUCGAACGGCAGCACAGUAAGAGCUUGCUCUUACGGGUGGCGAGUGGCGGACGGGUGAGGAAUACAUCGGAAUCUACUUUUUCGUGGGGGAUAACGUAGGGAAACUUACGCUAAUACCGCAUACGACCUACGGGUGAAAGCAGGGGAUCUUCGCACCUUGCGCGAUUGAAUGAGCCGAUGUCGGAUUAGCUAGUUGGCGGGGUAAAGGCCCACCAAGGCGACGAUCCGUAGCUGGUCUGAGAGGAUGAUCGGCCACACUGGAACUGAGACACGGACCAGACUCCUACGGGAGGCAGCAGUGGGGAAUAUUGGACAAUGGGCGCAAGCCUGAUCCAGCCAUACCGCGUGGGUGAAGAAGGCCUUCGGGUUGUAAAGCCCUUUUGUUGGGAAAGAAAAGCAGCAGGUUAAUACCCCGCUGUUCUGACGGUACCCAAAGAAUAAGCACCGGCUAACUUCGUG
rnacentral:rRNA from 1 species